UCGGCUUAGAGUUUGAUCAUGGCUCAGGACGAACGCUGGCGGCGUGCUUAACACAUGCAAGUCGAACGAUGCCUAGCUUGCUGGGUAGAGUGGCGAACGGGUGAGUAACACGUGAGUAACCUGCCCUGAACUCUGGGAUAAGCACUGGAAACGGUGUCUAAUACUGGAUAUGACCUUACCGCAUGGUGGGGGUGAAAGAUUUAUCGGUUUUGGAUGGACUCGCGGCCUAUCAGCUAGAUGGUGAGGUAAUGGCUCACCAUGGCGACGACGGGUAGCCGGCCUGAGAGGGUGACCGGCCACACUGGGACUGAGACACGGCCCAGACUCCUACGGGAGGCAGCAGUGGGGAAUAUUGCACAAUGGGCGCAAGCCUGAUGCGGCAACGCCGCGUGAGGGAUGACGGCCUUCGGGUUGUAAACCUCUUUUAGUAGGGAAGAAGCGAAAUGACGGUACCUGCAGAAAAAGCACCGGCUAACUACGUGCCAGCAGCCGCGGUAAUACGUAGGGUGCAAGCGUUGUCCGGAAUUAUUGGGCGUAAAGAGCUCGUAGCGGCUUGUCGCGUCUGCUGUGAAAUCCCGGGGCUCAACCCCGGGCCUGCAGUGGGUACGGGCAAGCUAGAGUGCGGUAGGGGAGAUUGGAAUUCCUGGUGUAGCGGUGGAAUGCGCAGAUAUCAGAGGAACACCGAUGGCGAAGCAGAUCUCUGGGCCGCUACUGACGCUGAGGAGCGAAAGCAUGGGGAGCGAACAGGAUUAGAUACCCUGGUAGU
rnacentral:rRNA from 1 species